rnacentral:rRNA from 1 species
AAUUUUGGACAAUGGGGGCAACCCUGAUCCAGCCAUGCCGCGUGAGUGAAGAAGGCCUUAGGGUUGUAAAACUCUUUCGCCGAGGACGAUAAUGACGGUACUCGGAGAAGAAGCUCCGGCUAACUUCGUGCCAGCAGCCGCGGUAAUACGAAGGGGGCUAGCGUUGUUCGGAUUUACUGGGCGUAAAGCGCGUGUAGGCGGGUCGUUAAGUUGGGGGUGAAAUCCCGAGGCUCAACCUCGGAACUGCCUUCAAAACUGGCGACCUGGAGCGAGAUAGAGGCAAGUGGAAUUCCGAGUGUAGAGGUGAAAUUCGUAGAUAUUCGGAGGAACACCAGUGGCGAAGGCGACUUGCUGGAUCUCUGCUGACGCUGAGACGCGAAAGCGUGGGGAGCAAAC